rnacentral:misc_RNA from 1 species
AUGGGUUUAUGGGUACUUCGGUACCCGACCUCCAACCCUGUGUCUAUAUUACCGUGUUGCUUUGGCGGGCCCGCCCUUCUGGGGCCGCCGGGGGCCUUUGUGCUCCUGGCCCGUGCCCGCCGGUGGCCAACCUAAAUUCUAUGUGAACCGUGUCGUCUGAGUAUCAAGUUUAAAUUAUUUA